UCGAUCUCGAUCUCGACACUCUGACUCUGGCUCUCUCCCUCUCUCUCCCACAGACCCAACCCCUCUCUCCCCUUUGCUGGCUCCCAAGAGACAUUAUCUCUCCUCUUCUCUUACAAUUUCAACCCCAAAGUCAGAGUUGGAUCAUCUCACAAUCUGAAUUUUGGGGGCCUUGUUCUGAUCUGAAAAGAGUUUUUUUUUCUUUCCCUUUGUAUGAAAUCUGAGAGUUGACAAUGGAAGUGGGGAGGAGGAUAUCGGCGAUUCAUCAGCCGUGCUCCAGCCAGCGAGUGGUGGCGAGGAAGAAGAGGGCCGCCGGAGAUGGAUUCGUCAAUAGGGUCAAGAAGCUUUAGGUACCGGCGAACGAAGGGGUGAGGGUGGGUUUGGAGUCAGAGAAGGAUCAGAUCCGUGCGACGACGAUGCUGAGCAUGGGCAGUGAUGAUAAGGUUGAUUAGAUGGGGGAUGAGGUGGAGGCGGCAGCUGGGAGACUUUAUCCAGGCACUAUUGGAUGAUCAGGGGAGCGAAUUGUAGUGUUAAUUGAGUUUGACUGUUGUUGUUGGAGAGUUGAUUGAUCGGAAUUUGCUUGAUGCUACCAUAGAACCAACCCUUUCUCUUCCUCCAUGCCGCAACCAGAGACUUGGAAAGUGUGGUGGUCGACUGUGGUGGUCAAAGUAUGGUGGUCGACUGCGGUUAGUACGAGAAAGGCUGGGUUUUGGAUCGAAGGAGAGACUGAGGGAGAGGGGCAGAACAGAUUUUGGUGUGAGAGAGAGAGAGAGAGAGAGAGAGAGAGAGCUGGGUGUCCAGCUUUGUUUUGUUUUUUUUUUUUCAAUCAUCUUUGAUUACCAGUUUAGAUCUUGCUUUUUCCCAGUUGGUUACUUUGGUUUUUGGUUUGAUUACAAGUUUGGGUCUUGCAUUUGUCCCAUUUGGUUACAAUAUGGUAGUUUUCCCACUAUUCAUAGUCCUGCUAUUGAAGUUUAGGUCAAUAGUUGUUGCUGAACAUUGGUUUUUUAGAGGGAAAACUCUUCACUUUUUUACUGUUUAGGAGGUUAGUGAAUUAGAAGGAAAUGUGAUGAUGUGGCGCUCUCAAAUGGAGGGAAAGUAGGGUGUGACUGAUUUGCCCCUGUAAAUAUGAUGGAAAGCACACUAAUUAACGGAACCCGUAACGGCAUGUACCUAAAUUGGGUAGAAAUUUAAACUUGAUGUACCAUUUUGAUUUUAACAAAACUUGAUUCACGAAAGGUUAGAACGGGUGAUACUUCAUGUAC